AACGCUUGAAACAAUUUAUUCAAGUCAUUUUCACAUAAACUUGCAACCAUAAUACGGGCAUGUAACACAAGAAUAUGAAAGUGCAAUGAAGAAUACAAAGCUAGUGCCUGAAUAUUAUAAAUUAGAGCUUUUCAGAUAAAGAUGCAAAGUUACUGAAAUGAAGACUCUUGGAAGAAAAGUGAAGGAAAUAAUGAAAAACCAUCAAAAAAGUUGAAAAAACAAGUGGCAUUUCACUGUAUCUGUAGCACUUAGUUGCAUAAUAAAAACCUCCCAAUAACAUACUCUUUGGUUUUAAUUCAAGUUAAAAUCUUUCAGCACCUCUUAGGAUCUGGAGAAAAUUAAAAUGCCUUAUCGGCAUAAGUGUGAGACACAGGAUAAACCACCUUCAAUGUCUCACUUAUGAAAUUCGCCCUGCUGGUUUUGAAUGAGUGCACUGCAAACAAUGCGCAAGUGAAUGUAGGAAGGUACAUUUGGUUUUUGCAUUCAUUCGGCACUGCAUAGUAGACUUUGGAGCAGAGAGAAAAUGAGUAGACUUUUACUAACACAAAAACAUCAUCUACAUGGUAUGUUGGUUCCAUUGGUGACCAAUCUGUCAUUUUUGUUACACUUCAUCUAAAAAUAUGCAUAUAUCAAAUGUAUUUCAGGAUUAAAAAAAAUAUAUAACAAACCCCUCCUUUAAUGAGCCUGACAUACAAUAAGUUCCUUAUGUGCAAUUUUAAUCUAAAGAUCUGAAAUGUGGGAGGUAAUUGCUUCACACACAUUUUUAUUAUUUGGCUUUUCAAAGGAAAGUUGAGACUGCAAGACAGAAAAUUCAUACUAGAAUUCUCACAAAAAUUUAAAUCUGAUUUUACUCCCACAGAGACCAAAGGCAGGAAGCCUCUCAAAGAUGAUCGGAAUAAGCCCAAUGUCUGGUAAAAAGGAUUCCAAAAUAUAAUUUGCUGCAUAAAAUAUUUUUUUAUCAAAACAGCUUUUAUAAAUGUUCUUCAACAAAACUGCGUGUAAUCCCACAAAUAUAUUCCAGUAUGAAAAAGGUAAAUUAGGUGGCUGGGUAAAAACUGCAGAGCCAAGACACUGAAACUGCAGAGCCAAGACACUGAACAUACUGGUUGGCACUCCCCAAUUUAGAACUACUUCUACACAUGCUAUGUAAUAAACUCUUCUACUGCGUUGUGAUUUACUCUAGUUAAACAGGGGAAGUUAAAAUCACAUUCCUUCAUUUUUUUUAAUCCUAAAAUCCCUUGGUUUUCUAAAUAGACUGUUCAUGAUAUCUUAGUCAAUUUUUAUGCUAUUGUACACCAUGUCAUGUUGCUUAACACACAUUUCAAAAGAAAUACAAUAUUUUGCUACGGAAAAAAAAAAAAGCUACAUUUUUGUAGCUCCAAUAUCCCCAAUAUUCAAAGCCAUGGCGUUCAACACCUUUCUGAACCAGGCCAUUCCCACUGAAAGGACCAAGCCCACUAUUACAACCUCCUCCACCUACACAGAUGCUCAAGGUCCUCUGGCUCCUUGCUGAAUUCAGUGGAGUUCUGCAAGUAGUUUGGGUAUAGACAUGUGAGCAGGUUACUGCCUUAUGAGUCAAGGGAUAAACUCAAUUUCUGUGGCUGCUCUGUGUCCAGUUAGUGCUGUCUUAUCCCGCAUUCAGCACAUUAUCAGGCACAAUGAGGUACCAGCAAACAACCUUUUACGAGGAAGCAGCCCGUGCCCACAGCCUAGCUUCCAUUACAGUAGCUUUUGUGUCCAUUGCCCAAGCUGCUAUCAGGACUUUCACCCCAAUUUUGACCCAAGUCUUUAGAAAGGUGAAUGCACUUGCAUCCUUUAGCCCCUCUUAAUCUAAAAAAAUCUGGGCUGAGAUUUCAGAAGCCUAGACUUUAAACGGACUGUCAUUUUUGCAGACAUAUUGUAAUAAAUGGCUUUCUAAUGAAUCUAGUUUCCAAAUUUUGCUUCUGUUCAUUGCCCAUACUGGUGCCUGAUGGCUGAAAUGGAUCUCUCAGCAAAAAAAAA
rnacentral:lncRNA from 1 species